rnacentral:rRNA from 1 species
AACGAACGCUGGCGGCAGGCUUAACACAUGCCAGUCGAACGCCCCGCAAGGGGAGUGGCAGACGGGUGAGUAACGCGUGGGAACAUACCCUUUUCUACGGAAUAGCUCUGGGAAACUGGAAUUAAUACCGUAUACGCCCUACGGGGGAAAGAUUUAUCGGGGAAGGAUUGGCCCGCGUUGGAUUAGCUAGUUGGUGGGGUAAAGGCCUACCAAGGCGACGAUCCAUAGCUGGUCUGAGAGGAUGAUCAGCCACAUUGGGACUGAGACACGGCCCAAACUCCUACAGGAGGCAGCAGUGGGGAAUAUUGGACAAUGGGCGCAAGCCUGAUCCAGCCAUGCCGCGUGAGUGAUGAAGGCCUUAGGGUUGUAAAGCUCUUUCACCGAUGAAGAUAAUGACGGUAGUCGGAGAAGAAGCCCCGGCUAACUUCGUG